rnacentral:rRNA from 1 species
AGAGUUUGAUCCUGGCUCAGGAUAAACGCUGGCGGCAUGCCUAAUACAUGCAAGUCGAACGAGAUUAAGCGGAAGAGCAAUCAGAAGCUUAUGAAAGUGGCGGACGGGUGAGUAACGCGUGAACAAUCUACCGUGUGCAGGGGAAUAGCCCCGAGAAAUUGGGAAUAAAACCGCAUAAGACCACAGUAUCGCAUGAUACA